rnacentral:rRNA from 1 species
AACAGGUUAAUAUUCCUGUACCACCGGGUUAUUGAUGUUUCUUCGGAAACGUAAGCGAAUGGGGGGACGCAGGAGGGUAGGUCAGCCGUCGGAUGGAAGUGGCGGUUCAAGCCGGUAGGCUGAAAGGGCAGGUAAAUCCGUCCUUUCUUCAAGGCCGAGAAGUGAUGAGGAGAGACUGUGUCUCAUAAACUGACCGAUCCCAUGCUGCCUGGAAAAGCCUCUAAGCGAGAUAAUCGGGUGAUCGUACCGUAAACCGACACAGGUGGGCAGG